GACUAGUGACAGAGUGAGAGAGGGGGUGACUAGUGACAGAGUUAGGGAGGGAGUGACUAGUGACAGAGUUAGGGAGGGAGUGACUAGUGACAGAGAGAGGGAUGGGGUGACUAGUGACAGUCACCCCCUCUCUCACUCUGUCACUAGUCACCCCCUCUCUCACUCUUUCACCAGUCAU